rnacentral:rRNA from 1 species
UACGUAGGGGGCGAGCGUUGUCCGGAAUUACUGGGCGUAAAGAGCGCGUAGGCGGCGCGGUACAUCCGCGGUAAAAGCCCCUGGCUCAACUAGGGGAAGCCCGCGGCGAUGGCCGUGCUAGAGGGUGGUAGAGGCAGGCGGAAGUCCCGAAGUAGUGGUGAAAUGCGUAGAGAUCGGGAGGAACACCAGUGGCGAAGGCGGCCUGCUGGGCCACGACUGACGCUGAGGCGCGAAAGCUAGGGGAGCGAACGG